ACCAGCAUUGAUAUCUAGUUGGCCCAGCUACCGCACGAGUCCCGCCUGCAGGAGCCCCAGUCCAGGACAACCCUUCCCCUCCCCUGACUUCUAACUCCUCCCCCUUGACCUCCUGACUCAAAAAGUCAGCAUCGUUGAACAACUCCGUUCUGCAGGAAAUUCUGAGCAUGAUUCUGUUCUGAACAAACACAAUGCCCUCUUCAAGUUGUCCACACAUAAGCCUGGGUAGUUUUGUUAAGCUAGAGUUCCCCGUGGGCCUGAGAGGGAUGAGUGUUACAGACACAAAAAGUUAUAGCAGUAGUUAUGGUAACGCCAACAGUCAGUUGUUGCUGUUGGACAUCACAACAAAUAUCAUGAAGAAUAAAAAGUUCAAUAACUUGUUCCAAUCUUUAUGGGACAAACAGAAAUUGAACGGGGAAAAAUCAAGGAACAAUAAAAGCAUAAGCUUUCCUAGUGGGAUACUUCUGCUGUUGAUAGUUAGGACGACAGUAGAGUUACGGACUGCCCCAGAUUGUCCUCUCAGCGGCCAAAAUAUCAUAAUAGAACAGACUUUUGGCAAUGUUACUGACAAAGAAAGGCAGUAAUGACUUGGUUGUGAACACCUCGAGCAUGAUACAUCCAUGCUGACACAGAAAGGCAGUAAUGACUUGGUUGUGAAAACCCAGAGCACGCUGCAUCCAUGCUGACAAAGAAAGGCAGUAAUGACUUGGUUGUGAACACCUCGAGCACGAUACAUCCAUGCUGACAAAAAAAGGCAGUAAUGACUUGGUUGUGAACACCUAGAGCAGGAUACAUCCAUGUUGAUAAAGAAAGGCGGAAAUGACUUGGUUGUGAACACCCAGAGCAUGAUACAUCAAUGCUGACAUAGAAAGGCAGUAAUGACUUGGUUGUGAACACCCAGAGCACGAUACAUCCAUGGGGUGUGCAUCAGACACGAAUUCUGCAUAUUAUUGUAAACAAGUUGCUAAAAGUGAACACGUCUGGUUUUGUUAUGAGCACUUCCCACUCAGAGCCCAAAGGUCCUCGCAUUGAAUCGAUGCAAAAGAAGACUUUGAAAAAUUACAGCAGUUGUGUUGUGUGGUCCAGUAAUCCUUUCAACUCUCAACCUGAAGUUUAUCAAAACUCAUUCUUAGCCCUUUGCAAUAUCACACCUUGCAACACAGUGUACUUUACCAUGAAUGUUUCGCGGUUUAAAACACCAAAAUUUCAAUUUAAAGUUUGUGCGCGUAAUAUAUUGAUACAUUGCUAUUCUGAGUUCUAAUUGCGAUAUCCAAAAUAUCAAUAAUAGAUGAAAUGUUUGGCAUUAAAAAACAGGUCUGUAAAGUAAUGUGUUACAGUGAAUAUUCAUUUGUCACUAAAAAAUCAGUUUGCUUGUCAUUUCCUUUUAAGCAAACAUUAUUAGACAACAAAACUAACGUUGUUUAAGUGAAAGUCCAAGACAAUUCUGACCCAGUUUGGGCACAAAUACAACAACUAAUUAAAGAAAUUCAGUUUGUCUUGCGUCGGCCUACAUGUAGCAAGCCUCUUAUAAACAUCUCCUAAGUUGGCUACAUCAAGGCUUUCAACAGGGGAGCUGGGCAUCGACACAUUGUUCCGAACGAGUCGCUCGAACUGAAACGAUCCGAUCAAACAGAGAGCAGGCGCUGCGUGACUCGUCUGUUAAUGUGACUGACCUCGAUAUGUUGCUGUCCAAUAAUGUGAGCGUUACUCCAGAUUAGCUGUCUGUGAUUGACCCAAUUCAACAACAGUUGUUGUCAGGAAUUUCCGGCUUUGGUAUGGCGAUUUGGCGUCGGGGCUUCAUCUCUGUCUUUGGCCUGGUCGCAGCAGAAGCAGCAACAAGAACAACAAUUAGUAUAAGAGACGUUAUCUGGGAUAUGGGGCUUCAUAGCCUGUUCCUACAGGAACCCAUGCAAUCAUAGAUCGGUACCUAGCUGAACAACAGGCUGUCUGGUCAGCUGGGCCCAGACGCCCAGUGACACUUCCUGGCACAGGACCUUGGGGCAAAUGCUUUACUAGUCCUAUCUGCAGGGUGGAGCCACACUGAACCUGGGGCUCCAUACUUUCUUGGCCAGGGGUCAAGAUAACCUCGUCAAUAAGAGCCUGUUCCUACAGGAACCCAUGCAAUCAUAGAUCGGUACCUAGCUGAACAACAGGCUGUCUGGUCAGCUGGGCCCAGACGCCCAGUGACACUUCCUGGCACAGGACCUUGGGGCAAAUGCUUUACUAAUCCUAUCUGCAGGGUGGAGCCACACUAAACCUGGGGCUCCAUACUUUCUUGGCCAGGGGUCAAGAUAACCUCGUCAAUAAGGGACAAAUUCCUGGGAUGCCCUAAGGUCUUUCUAUCUGUUCACAGAGGUCUUAUACUCACAAGUUCAAGCCCAGUGAGCGAUGUUCAAAUUAUCAAACUCUGCAUCUCAAUAGA